rnacentral:rRNA from 1 species
AGUGAACGCUGGCGGUAGGCCUAACACAUGCAAGUCGAACGGCAGCACAGUAAGAGCUUGCUCUUACGGGUGGCGAGUGGCGGACGAGUGAGGAAUACAUCGGAAUCUACUUUUUCGUGGGGGAUAACGUAGGGAAACUUACGCUAAUACCGCAUACGACCUACGGGUGAAAGCAGGGGAUCUUCGGACCUUGCGCGAUUGAAUGAGCCGAUGUCGGAUUAGCUAGUUGGCGGGGUAAAGGCCCACCAAGGCGACGAUCCGUAGCUGGUCUGAGAGGAUGAUCAGCCACACUGGAACUGAGACACGGUCCAGACUCCUACGGGAGGCAGCAGUGGGGAAUAUUGGACAAUGGGCGCAAGCCUGAUCCAGCCAUACCGCGUGGGUGAAGAAGGCCUUCGGGUUGUAAAGCCCUUUUGUUGGGAAAGAAAAGCAGCAGGUUAAUACCCCACUGUUCUGACGGUACCCAAAGAAUAAGCACCGGCUAACUUCGUG